UAACCGCAGUACUGCAUUUCCCUCAUUCUUGGCAUUUGGCAACUCUGCAGCGAACAGCUGGCGCCAUUUAUUUACUAUCUUCUGAUAAGCACCACAGUGGAAGUUUUAGUUUUGUUAUCACGUUUCUUUUGGCUUUCUUAUCUUUUACAGCGGUGUAGUGUUUUCAACAAAACCGAUAAGAAUUGUGUAGGCGGUGCGUUCGUUUAAAAUCUCCAGCAGAAACCAACCAACU
rnacentral:misc_RNA from 1 species